AUUGAACGCUGGCGGCAGGCUUAACACAUGCAAGUCGAGCGGGGGAAGGUAGCUUGCUACCGGACCUAGCGGCGGACGGGUGAGUAAUGCUUAGGAAUCUGCCUAUUAGUGGGGGACAACAUCUCGAAAGGGAUGCUAAUACCGCAUACGUCCUACGGGAGAAAGCAGGGGAUCUUCGGACCUUGCGCUAAUAGAUGAGCCUAAGUCGGAUUAGCUAGUUGGUGGGGUAAAGGCCUACCAAGGCGACGAUCUGUAGCGGGUCUGAGAGGAUGAUCCGCCACACUGGGACUGAGACACGGCCCAGGCUCCUACGGGAGGCAGCAGUGGGGAAUAUUGGACAAUGGGGGGAACCCUGAUUCAGCCAUGCCGCGUGUGUGAAGAAGGCCUUACGGUUGUAAAGCACUUUAAGCGAGGAGGAGGCUACUCUAGUUAAUACCUAGGGAUAGUGGACGUUACUCGCAGAAUAAGCACCGGCUAACUCUGUGCCAGCCGCCGCCGUAA
rnacentral:rRNA from 1 species